rnacentral:rRNA from 1 species
UGCAAGUCGAGCGAGACCUUCGGGUCUAGCGGCGGACGGGUUUAGUAACGCGUGGGAACGUGCCCUUCUCUGCGGAAUAGCCACUGGAAACGGUGAGUAAUACCGCAUACGCCCUUCGGGGGAAAGAUUUAUCGGAGAAGGAUCGGCCCGCGUUAGAUUAGAUAGUUGGUGGGGUAACGGCCUACCAAGUCUACGAUCUAUAGCUGGUCUGAGAGGAUGAUCAGCCACACUGGAACUGAGACACGGUCCAGACUCCUACGGGAGGCAGCAGUGAGGAAUAUUGGACAAUGGGCGAAAGCCUGAUCCAGCCAUACCGCAUGAGUGAUGAAGGCCCUUGGGUUGUAAAGCUCUUUUAGUGGGGAAGAUAAUGACGGUACCCACAGAAGAAGUUCCGGCUAACUCCGUGCCAGCAGCCGCGGUAAU